UCCUGGUGUCCUGGAAGACCGCUAUUAAUCGCAGAAUUUCCCCAGCUCUGAUUGUAGUCUUCGUAUAAUGAGCUCGCAGAUUACCGUUUUCUAUUGGUGAAGUUGUUGAGAUAAAGAAUAUAAUAUUUCAAGUGAGCUGUUUCUGGAUGUAAAUAUUGCAGAUUUGGAAAGGUAUCAACAAUUGGCUGUUACAAAAUGACUGAACUCAGAUAGAAGAUAAACGGAAGUGUAAUAAAAUCAAAACGAAAUUGAUGGGGUACGGUAUUUAAAAAUUGUUGACACGUACUGCAAGCAUAGUUGGAUAAAACAUUGCGCAUCUUGGCGCGCAAUUUGAACAACUUUGUCAACGAGAAAUCAUUUUUAUUAUUAAAAUGAAUGAAAUGAUUAAAAUAUCUACCUGUUUUUGUGCAUAUGUAUUUUGAAAACUGUAAAUAAACGAGGGGUAAGUAAUUCUCGUGACUUCAUUUACAUUUGGCGCGAAGUGCGCAUCUUGGCGCGCAAUUUGAACGAC
rnacentral:lncRNA from 1 species